rnacentral:misc_RNA from 1 species
ACACCCUCAAGCUCUGCUUGGUGUUGGGCGUCUGUCCCGCUUCAUGCGUGGACUCGCCCCAAAGUCAUUGGCAGCGGUCGUGCCAGCUUCUCGCGCAGCACAUUUGCGUUUCUUGAAGUUUGGUGGAUCAGCAUCCAGUAAGCUCUUUUAUGAC